CCUACGGGGGGCAGCAGUGGGGAAUAUUGGACAAUGGGGGGAACCCUGAUCCAGCCAUGCCGCGUGUGUGAAGAAGGCCCUCGGGUUGUAAAGCACUUUCAGUGAGGAAGAACGCCUGGUGGUUAAUACCCAUCAGGAAAGACAUCACUCACAGAAGAAGCACCGGCUAACUCCGUGCCAGCAGCCGCGGUAAUACGGAGGGUGCGAGCGUUAAUCGGAAUUACUGGGCGUAAAGCGCGCGUAGGUGGCUUGAUAAGCCGGUUGUGAAAGCCCCGGGCUCAACCUGGGAACGGCAUCCGGAACUGUCAAGCUAGGGUGAAGGGGAGGAAGGAGGAAUUCCCGGGGUGCGGGUGAAAGGGGUAGAGAUCGGAAGGAAUACCAGUGGCGAAGGCGGCCUUCUGGACUGCAACUGACACUGGGGUGCGAAAGCGUGGUAGCAAACAGGAUUAGAUACCCUAGUAGUC
rnacentral:rRNA from 1 species